CCUACGGGAGGCAGCAGUGGGGAAUAUUGGACAAUGGGGGGAACCCUGAUCCAGCCAUGCCGCGUGUGUGAAGAAGGCCCUCGGGUUGUAAAGCACUUUCAGUGAGGAAGAACGCCUGGUGGUUAAUACCCAUCAGGAAAGACAUCACUCACAGAAGAAGCACCGGCUAACUCCGUGCCAGCAGCCGCGGUAAUACGGAGGGUGCGAGCGUUAAUCGGAAUUACUGGGCGUAAAGCGCGCGUAGGUGGCUUGAUAAGCCGGUUGUGAAAGCCCCGGGCUCAACCUGGGAACGGCAUCCGGAACUGUCAAGCUAGAGUGCAGGAGAGGAAGGUAGAAUUCCCGGUGUAGCGGUGAAAUGCGGAGAGAUCGGGAGGAAUACCAGUGGCGAAGGCGGCCUUCUGGACUGACACUGACACUGAGGUGCGAAAGCGUGGGUAGCAAACAGGAUUAGAUACCCUGGUAGUC
rnacentral:rRNA from 1 species